GUGCUUGUUUCAGCAGCACAUAUACUAAGAUUGGAAUAAUACAGAGAAGAAUAGCAUAUUCCCCCCUGCCAGGAUGACCCAAAAGGCAUAAGCACAGGGAGAUGCAGACCUCU
ensembl:snRNA U6 U6 spliceosomal RNA